AAGAACCUGAGUAUGACCAACUGUGAUGGAGAGUCAUCCAGUUAAUAGGUCAAGAUUUCAGCUGGAAGCAGUGUGGCCUUGAAGCCACAUUUUGCAACAUGGAUAAACCAGAGCACCCCCUAGUGUUAAUUGAAUUCACUGCUCCUCCUUCAAUUUAUUAUUCAGAAAGGGACUUCUGAGUUUGCAUGAGAGAUAUACAGACUGAAGAGUACAGGAAGACUGCCGGAUAGCUGAUCCUGAGGAUAAUACUGAAACUCACCAGCCUGGUCUGGGUGGAACCCCAGGCCACAGUGGUUGGUCCUGACCACCCAGAAAUGUUUGGUGAAUGAAGAACUGGGUAUUCUGAAUUACCUGCCUGGAAAAUGUUUAGAAGAAGGAAAUUUCAG